UUGCCUAUUUUUAACAUUUUAUGAAUGUGGCUGUUCUUCUCUGACUUUCCUCUCUGAGAUGUUAUGCUUUUUCAAUUACUUUAUUACAGGAAACCCUAAGUCAAAAAAAGAAGACAAUGAUGCUUAUCUGCCUAAGGUAUCUACACAAACAAGAUUAGGAAGUAACGGAACCAUGUGUGUAUGCCAACCAACAAUGAGGAAAAGGGUCUUCUAGGUUACAAGUUUGGAGACUAGAGAAGUCCUAAUUUCAUUAUCCAACUGGGCAUUCAAAUCUUGUGGGAUAAGGAUCGUUCAUCGCAGUAACAAGAGCUAUGACAAAAGGGACAAGAACUAGCAGCACGGAAAGCAACAGGAGCCAGAUUUAGGACCAGUGUCAACUCAGGAAGUCAAUGAAAGCCUUUGCUGGCCUAAAACCCCCCACUCCCUCAGCACAGAGUCUUCCCUUCCUGGAUCUCCACUCAUGUAAUUCUGUAUCGCCUCCACCAAGUCCAACUGGUGUGUCUUUCUUCCUGAGUACUGCACUAAAUUUUGUGAGGCCCAGAGUGCUGGCUCGCUCUGCCAGCAGCUAACACAGGUGUAGGCGGUACAAUGUUUAUUGAGGUUAUACUUACCAAAAGACUGAAUGUCAUUACAAUUGAGCAUCCUUGAGAGGAAAGGGGAAAAGAGCACGCAUUUUUCAUGAACAGUAGAAGCAACCUUCAAGAUAACUGAACUUCCCAUGGCAUUGCAUAGCCACAACUUGUCUGUAGCAUGGAGAAGCAUCUAACGCUUUGAAAGAGUCACCAUACGCAUGAAAACGGUUGUUAUCAUAUGAGGUCAGGUCACGUGAUACCAUAUAUUAUCAUAUGUUAUUAUUUGAGGCGAGGUCAACAGCCAGAUGGGGCGAUAAUGGCGACUACUUAUAAUGGCGACUACCUUAUACUAGGUAUUUGUAAUUAGUCACCAGUUAAAAAGCUUGCUACAACAUUACCAAUUCAUUCUCUUAAGACAUGUAAAUGUUUCACUCAAAAUAAAAUAUUUAAAAAUA